GCCUUUGUGGUGUAAUGGUUAGCACACUCGGCAUGUAUUCAAGAGGUCCAGGUUUGAUUCCCAGCGAAGGCA
rnacentral:tRNA from 1 species